UAAAAACCAAAGGAAGGAAGCCCCAAAACAUGAGUAGAGACACCCCAUGAACAUUGGCACCAUAAAAACGCUCCAGGACUUCUCUGUCCCUUUCCCAAAUUGUCCCUGGCAGUUCUCUGAGUCCUGUCCCUGCUCUGGAGCUGUUUGGGACGGGGAGAUCUGCAAGUUCUUUCUAAACGUGGAUUUCUCACCGUUCACCCCCUUUUUCGACAAGGAGCAAUUCCUGAUUUAUUGGGAGUUUGGAGAAGCAUUCUGGGCCGGGAAGAGGCAGGGCUGUGUCACACUGUGCCUCCAAAGGAGCAGAUAAUAAAUGCAUGAGCAGCCUAUUUAUAACAGCGGCACCAGCCAGGGGGAAAAUCACCGGGGAAUAUUGAGCAACCCCGAAAAGGGGGAGGGAGGAAGAGCCGGAGCUGAUCCCAAAGCUCUGCCCGCAGCCGCCGUUCCUGCAGGGAGGAUCAUUAAACCUGGCAUGGUGGCUCUGGAAUUCUGGAAUUCUCAUCCCUGGUAUUGCCACUCGUCCCGGCAGGGAAAAUGAAGCUGCCCCGAGAAUAUUCUCAGGGGGAAAAAUUAGGAAAAAAAAAAAAUCACAUUCUGCUGCUUGUUCCGCGGGAAUGGGAAAUGCCAGUGCUGAGCAUCUUCACUCCAAGAAAUCAGCGGUGCAAAUUCCCCGAGUGCUUUACGGCCAAUAAAUGUUCAUUUUCC